AAAAUACUCCCUCCUUUCCAAAAUUCUUGUCUUAGGUUUGUUUAAAAAUAGAUGUAUCUAAAUACUAUAACAUGACUAGAUACAUCCAUAUUUAGACAAAUCUAAGACAAGAAUUUUGGGACGGAGGAAGUAUACC
rnacentral:pre_miRNA from 1 species